ensembl:lincRNA
GCAGGCAGUUUGGAGAACUGUUGAUGUUCCUGAUGUCUCCCAGAGGCAGCUGGCAAUGGAUGACCUGGGUCAGCACAAGCCACUUGUUAUCUGGAUCUCUGUUGGCAGUUCUGAGGCACAAUCCCUGAUUCACUUCUUCCUUUUGGAAGGACAGGACAUGUGGGAGCAGAGCUGCAGGGAGCAGGGCAUGAAUCUGGACAGGGAGGCGGAGCAGAAAGUGAAGAUCCUCCCCAGGGAGUGUGGCGAUUGACUGGGACAGUAACUGAAGAUGUGGAAGGAGCCAGAACUGUCUAGAAGGCUUGGGUCUCCUGAUGAGGAAUUUCUUGAAACAGCAGCAGAGCGAGUUGGGGAAAUUCACAUGGCAAGAAGCUGGGGGCAGCCUCCAGCCACCACCAAUGGAGCACAACCCUUAUCCCAGUGUCUAGCAGACCUGAAUGCCUCUAAAAAGCACAUGGGGGAAGCUUAGAAGCGAAUCCCGCUCCAGUGGCACCUUCAGAUGACAUCAUUGCCUGUCUGACACCCUGACUAUAGCCUUCUGAGAAGCCCGGAGCUGGAUUCACAAGUGAGCUGCAUCCAGGGAAGGCAGUCAGUUACUUAGGGAAGAGCCUACGGCUCGGCCCACACGUGCCUCUGGAUGCCCUUUCCUCGGCUGGACAGCUGCUGCCCCAGUCUGCUCUGGAUCCCCAGUUCUUCCGGACUGAGUGCUCCUCUCCGUCUGCCUUGCAGUCCUGGUUCUCCCAAGCUAGGCUUAGAGCCACGUGGUCUUCUCCUGUGGGCCUGACCUGGAUUCCUGGCCCCGAGCCUGAUCGCUGCAUUUCUGAUCAGAUCUGGGGGCAUGGGACGGAACUUGGCAGACGUGCCUGGUCCUCAUAGGAAGAUGUGAGUGUAUCAGCUCCGAGCAGGAUUGCCAGCUGGCACCGCCACUCAGUGGCACAGCGUUAUUUCAAACGCUGAAACGCCGCCUCCCUGGAAAUCUCUGCAUAAGGGGCACCCCCAGGAAUGCCUCUGCGCAGAUGCCUUCUACUCCUCUGCCUCUGUGGCUGGGCCACAGUGUGCGGAUAAACUCUACUUCUGCCUUCACGUCCUGGGAACAUGGAUUCUGCAAUGGGUGACUACCAGAGAUAUUGCCAUCUUACAUCAAGGCCAAUACUGCCCCAGAACAUGAUGGGCUCAGAACAAGGAUGCUGUUGCCUCGGAGAAGGACCACUCUGGUUAGAAAGCAGUAACUGUGAGAACCUUCCAGCUUCAGUUAUUCCAGGGCACUGGGAAAUGGAGACAGUGACUAACAGCCUGGGUAGAUCCUGCUCCCAGAAAAGCAGGGAUACCUGAAUACCUCUAAGCAGACACUAUAUAUCGCUGUCUAGACCACUGUAGCUAUGCCACAGUGUGAUACACUCUUCACUUCUGCCCUUUUGUCUUGUUGGAUCUUUUUGCUACACACACAAUUAGCCUGUCAUCACUGUUUCCCAGCAUGAUGUUUUUAAAUCAUAAAUACUUAAAAAUAUUUAUUGAGGGACUGGAGAGAUGGCUCAGUGGUUAAGUGCAUUUCCAGAGGUCUUGAGUUCAAUUCUCAGCAACCACAUGGUGGCUCACAAGCAUCUAUUCUGGGAUCUUUAUACCCUCCUCUGGCAUGCAGGUGUGCAUGCAGAUAGAGCACUCAUAUACAUAAAAUAAAUAAAUAAAUCUAAAAAAAAGUAUUUAUUGAGUAGCUGAACUUCAUAUACAUUACAUGGACCAGAAGAACCUGGGUACAAAAUAAUAAAUAUUGUACUCUUCAUUCAGCUGAUAGCCUGGACUAAAACAAGUGAAGCCCCCCACCCCCAAGGAUGAAAAGAGUCCAAUGAGAUGAACAUGGUUGGUAGGGAAUCACCAGGAAAUAGACAUAAAGUUCCCAGUGUGAGGGGAGUGUUCUGUCACCAAGUGGGGGUGGGUUACAUAGUGUGUGCAUUUGCUGCCAGUGGUGCAUGUUCAACUUUCUUACUUUUAUGGCUUUUGUUAUAUAUAAACUUUGCCUCCAAUAAAACUGCAAAACAAACAAACAAACAAUCAAAAACCCCACUUGAUUGGAAAAGGGAUGUAGGUAUGGAUGCAGAUGUAGAGAAAGCAAGGACAGCAGAAUAGGGACCAUCACUAAAGCUGGGUGACUAGAACCUAGGAGGUCAUUUGUUUUCCAUAGUAAGAAGAAACUCAACAAGGUCAUGCCUCCUAAUAGUGCCCCUCCUUACAAGCCUAUGGGGGCCAUUUUCUUUCAUAUGUNUAUAUAUGUGUNUAUNUNUGUAUAUAUAUAUAUAUAUAUAUAUAUAUGGUUACACUUUUAACUGGAAUACAUUUAUUUGUAUUUAUGUGUAAAAUACAUAUAAGGGAUUUCUUUUUAAGAAACUGAGCUAGAUAUUUAGAUGAUGUGCUCUUUUGUGAAGGAGGUGGGAAUAGAGGUAAAUAUAAGUGUAUUUUUCAGCUAUUUACUUUUGCAAUUUAAUCAUUCAAUGUGUUCCUUGUUGAAGAGAUCCUUAUCUACAUAACCAGACCUCUGUAUUCCUGAGUUCUGUACCCAUUAGUGUAAACAACUGUGGACUGAACACAUUAAAGGAAAAGAUUGUAUCUGUCCUGAAUGUGGAUAGACUUUAUAUUGUCAAUUAUUCCCCAAACAACAUAGUAUAAAAUCAUUUGCAUUGCAUACAGCAUUGUAAGUGAUCUAGGGAUGAUUUAAAAUAUGUAGGAGGCUCAAUAGUCACCUGCGAGCGCUGUGCCAUUUUAUCUGAGACAUGAACACUGAUGGAUUUUGCUAUAUGUAGAAGCUCCUGGAACCAUCUUUGCACCUUUGACCUGAUCACAUAAUUCAAAUGCCGGCUGCCUGGAGAAGCUUCUGGUAUGAAGGAAUUAUUGAAAGCUGAACUGCGUCGGGACUCGGAGAACCAUCUCUGUGACGCAUUCAUCAAAAAUGAGCUAGGGACUUCCUCUAUACAUUACAGAGUAGAAUAAAAAUGACCUCAUGUAAAUAGUAAAGUUAGCUUCCAGUGCUCUCUGGACUGAACAGGUUGUUUUCCCGGGUGACUGAGCCCAGCACUAAGACUGUCAGAGGAGCCGCUAGGGACUUCAGAGCUUGGAUUAAACAGGGCAUUAGCCAUGAGCUAGUUGCCUGAAUCCCACUGAUAAGAACAACAUUCUUCCCUUGCUAGACUCAGCAAUGAAAGCAAACAAGCCUAUGGCAUCAACUGCAUAUAUCAUGAAGAAUGGCCAACUCUGGCUUUCUUCAAUGCCAUCUCUGUUGUCUGAAAUUUCUUAGCUGUCUAUGAAAAUUAUUAUUUCAAAUCUUUGCGAUAUUUUUAGCUCAAAGGCAAUUAUAAAAGAAAACAGGGAAUCCGUGACUUCUCCAAAGCUCACGUUCCAUUCAACCCAGAGAACAGAACUCAUGAGUUCUUGUUAUGAAUCAAAGGCUGUCAUCCCUUCAAGACAGGUGACUUAGCAGACCCAAGUCAGGAGGUACAUACGGAUAGGAAGGCCAAGAAUUUACUAAGAGGAGUUUAUUCUUUGUAGAAAAA